AUACAGAGGGUGCAAGCGUUAUUCGGAAUUACUGGGCGUAAAGCGCGCGUAGGCGGAUGAUUAAGUCAGUUGUGAAAGCCCUGGGCUCAACCUAGGAACUGCAUCUGAUACUGGUCGUCUAGAGUUUAAGAGAGGGAAGUGGAAUUCCAGGUGUAGCAGUGAAAUGCGUAGAUAUCUGGAGGAACAUCAGUGGCGAAGGCGACUUCCUGGCUUAAAACUGACGCUGAGGUGCGAAAGCGUGGGUAGCGAACGGGAGUAGAAACCCUAGUAGUCC
rnacentral:rRNA from 1 species